GAGUUUGAUCGUGGCUCAGGAUGAACGCUAGCGGCAGGCUUAACACAUGCAAGUCGAGGGGUAUAGGUUUUCGGACCUAGAGACCGGCGCACGGGUGCGUAACGCGUAUGCAAUCUACCUUUUACAGAGGGAUAGCCCAGAGAAAUUUGGAUUAAUACCUCAUAGUAUUAUUGAAUGGCAUCAUUUAAUAAUUAAAGUUCCAACGGUAAAAGAUGAGCAUGCGUCCCAUUAGCUAGAUGGUAAGGUAACGGCUUACCAUGGCGACGAUGGGUAGGGGUCCUGAGAGGGAGAUCCCCCACACUGGUACUGAGACACGGACCAGACUCCUACGGGAAGCAGCAGUGAGGAAUAUUGGUCAAUGGGCGCAAGCCUGAUCCAGCCAUGCCGCGUGGAUGAUGAAGGCCCUAGGGUUGUAAAGUCCUUUCGACGGGGAAGAUAAUGACGGUACCCGUAGAAGAAGCCCCGGCUAACUUCGUGCCAGCCGCCGCCGUAAG
rnacentral:rRNA from 1 species